UCAGUGAAGUUUUAGCGACAUAUGAAGAAUUAAUGAACAUUGCAAAUUUUCAGUGAGACACUGUGCUGAACAGGAGUUGAGUAACUUGGACCUGGAUAGACUUUGGCUAAUGGCACCACUGGAGGGGCCUGGGAGGAACAGCUUAUUCUCCUUGAGUGUUUUCUCUAAACCAUCUGUAGUUUUCAACCAAAUCUAUUUGGAAGUAAAAUAAGCUGCAGCACAUGGAUAUGAUCUCACGGUUCGUGGGUACAAAUCCUGCAUGGACCUCUGUGCUGACAGCUCCGAGUCUGGAACCUGCUUCAGAUUCUGUGUCUCCCUCUCUCUGCCCUCCCCUGCUUGCGCUCUUUCCCUCUCUCUCUCUCUCUCAAAAAUGAAUAAUCAUUAAAAAAUUUUAAAAACUCA